AUGGACCAAGAGUCUUCAGAAGUCAAUCCUUGCUGUCCUUCAUCUCUCUGUACAUCUAGAUUUUCUCUGCAUUUCUCCAGUUGCUUUUCUCCUCCUGCUUUCUUAUCGUUUUCUUUUCACUUUUGCUGCCUCUCGGCAAAUCCCUCAGCAUCCUCUACUUUGCCAUCUGUUGUGGGUCUUUCUCAUUCUUCUUUUCUCUCUCUCUGGUUUUCUACUGCUCUGUCUCCUGAUCCCUUUGGCCCACACAAUCACAGGAGGGUUUGCAGUAAGACGCCUGCAUCCCGGUGGAGCACAUUUUCCAGGGGCUGGAGCUGGGCAGGCAAGAACACCCCGUGUCACAGGACAGGCCCCGGGCACCUCCCCAACGAGGGCUCGGGGAAGCGGUGACUGUGCAGGGGACACCUGGGGAACUGCAGGGCCCGGCACAAGGAGGGAGGUGAAGGGGCGUGGGCGCGUUAAGACAAGGGUGGGGUCUGCAGGAUCCCAGGACAAGGCAGAGGACGCGGCCUUCCCGGGACUGGGGCAGCGGCGCUGCGCUCCAGGGGCCUACGGGGGCGAGAAUCCACCUAUCGGGUGAGGACUUUAAAAAGCGCGGGGCUGGAGGAGUCAGAAAAAGGUUUAGAGCAGGAAAACUACACGAUAGAAAGUGUAUACAUUGCCCUACAGCAGAAAGACGCGGGACGGGACCAGCCUCAGGGCGACCUAAAACCCAAAAGGAAGCGACCCCCGGCCUCUCACGGGGAUGUCUCAAUUUGCUCUGGGUGAAGGACGACGGCUGCGAAUAUCCAGGUUUUGGGGGAUCCCAAGUCCCAGUUUCAGAAGCGCUGGGCAUCUGGGAAGCGCAGAGUUAAUACAAGACAGGGCGAAACUCACGCGCCGUGGUGGGACCGUCACUCCACGAGAUCCGUUUCCUGGUCUACGCGAAUCUGCGCGCGCAGGACAGAAGCCAGGCCUGGGCGGGACCCGCGAGGAGGUGGGCGGGGCCUGGGCGAGGCGCGAGGCGGAGAGACCUUGCGCUUUAGAA
rnacentral:lncRNA from 1 species